rnacentral:rRNA from 1 species
AUUGAACGCUGGCGGCAUGCUUUACACAUGCAAGUCGAACGGCAGCGCGGGCUUCGGCCUGGCGGCGAGUGGCGAACGGGUGAGUAAUACAUCGGAACGUGCCCAGUAGUGGGGGAUAGCUCGGCGAAAGCCGGAUUAAUACCGCAUACGACCUGAGGGUGAAAGCGGGGGAUCUUCGGACCUCGCGCUAUUGGAGCGGCCGAUGGCAGAUUAGCUAGUUGGUGGGGUAAAGGCCUACCAAGGCGGCGAUCUGUAGCUGGUCUGAGAGGACGACCAGCCACACGGGGACGGAGACACGGCCCAGACUCCUACGGGAGGCAGCAGUGGGGAAUUUUGGACAAUGGGCGAAAGCCUGAUCCAGCAAUGCCGCGUGUGUGAUGAAGGCCUUCGGGUUGUAAAGCACUUUUGGCGGGAACGAAAAGGACUGUGCCAAUACCACGGUUCGAUGACGGUACCCGCAGAAUAAGCACCGGCUAACUACGUG